UUUCGGGUUGAUCCUGCCGCCGGCCACCGCUAUCAAGUUCCGACUAAGCCAUGCGAGUCAAGGUAUCGUAAGAUGCCGGCAAACUGCUCAGUAACACGUGGAUAAUCUAACCUUGAGUAAGGGAUAACCUCGGGAAACUGAGGAUAAUACCUUAUAAUUGCUUAAAACUGGAAUGUUUAAGCAAUAAAAGUUCCGACGCUCAAGGAUGAGUCUGCGACCUAUCAGGUAGUAGGUGGUGUAAUGGACCACCUAGCCUCAGACGGGUACGGGCCCUGGGAGGGGUAGCCCGGAGAUGGACUCUGAGACAUCAGUCCAGGCCCUACGGGGCGCAGCAGGCGCGAACACUGUGCAAUGCGCGAAAGCGCGACACGGGGAGCUUGAGUGUCUUGGCAUAGCCAAGACUUUUCUCAUUCCUAAAAAGCAUGAGGAAUAAGUGCUGGGUAAGACGGGUGCCAGCCGCCGCGGUAACACCCGCAGCACAAGUGGUGGUCACUUUUAUUGAGCCUAAAGCGUUCGUAGCCGGUUUUGUAAAUCUUUAGAUAAAGCCUGAAGCUUAACUCCAGAAAGUCUAAAGAGACUGCAAGACUUGAGAUCGGGUGAGGUUAAACGUACUUUCGGGGUAGGGGUAAAAUCCUGUAAUCCUGGAAGGACGACCAGUGGCGAAAGCGUUUAACUAGAACGAAUCUGACGGUAAGGAACGAAGGCUAGGGUAGCAAACCGGAUUAGAUACCCGGGUAGUCCUAGCUGUAAACAUUGCCCAUUUGAUGUUGCUUUUCCGUUGAGGGAAGGCAGUGUCGGAGCGAAGGUGUUAAAUGGGCCGCUUGGGAAGUAUGGUCGCAAGACUGAAACUUAAAGGAAUUGGCGGGGGAGCACCGCAACGGGAGGAAUGUGCGGUUUAAUUGGAUUCAACGCCGGA
rnacentral:rRNA from 1 species